CCUACGGGGGGCAGCAGUGGGGGAUAUUGCACAAUGGGGGAAACCCUGAUGCAGCGACGCCGCGUGGGCGAAGAAGUAUUUCGGUAUGUAAAGCCCUAUCAGCAGGGAAGAAGAAAUGACGGUACCUGAGUAAGAAGCACCGGCUAAAUACGUGCCAGCAGCCGCGGUAAUACGUAUGGUGCAAGCGUUACCCGGAUUUACUGGGUGUAAAGGGAGCGCAGGCGGCACGGCAAGCCUGAUGUGAAAGCCCGCGGCCCAACCGCGGGACUGCAUUGGGAACUACCGGGCUGGAGUGCCGGGGAGGUAGGCGGAAUUCCUGGUGUAGCGGUGAAAUGCGUAGAUAUUAGGAGGAACACCAGUGGCGAAGGCAGCCUACUGGACGGUGACUGACGCUGAGGCUCGAAGGCGUGGGGAGCAAACAGGAUUAGAUACCCGGGUAGUC
rnacentral:rRNA from 1 species